rnacentral:hammerhead_ribozyme from 1 species
GCACUGUUGAGAAGUCCCACAAUAGGACGAAACAGCUGUCCAGUAC